rnacentral:rRNA from 1 species
AGAUUGAACGCUAGCGGGAUGCUUUACACAUGCAAGUCGAACGGCAGCGCGGACUUCGGUCUGGCGGCGAGUGGCGAACGGGUGAGUAAUAUAUCGGAACGUGCCCAGUAGCGGGGGAUAACUACGCGAAAGCGUGGCUAAUACCGCAUACGCCCUACGGGGGAAAGGGGGGAUUCUUCGGAACCUCUCACUAUUGGAGCGGCCGAUAUCAGAUUAGCUAGUUGGUGAGGUAAAGGCUCACCAAGGCGACGAUCCUUAGCUGGUCUGAGAGGAUGAUCAGCCACACUGGGACUGAGACACGGCCCAGACUCCUACGGGAGCAGCAGUAGGGAAUAUUGGACAAUGGGCGCAAGCCUGAUCCAGCAAUGCCGCGUGAGUGAUGAAGGCCUUAGGGUUGUAAAGCUCUUU